rnacentral:rRNA from 1 species
GCUAACGCGUGUGCGGCGGGCGCGGUGAUGCGGAGGUGGUACGGUCUUACCGGAAGGAUUUGGCGCGCAGGGUCCGUAGGUGGCUAGUCAGUUCUGCGGGCAAGGACGGGGGCGUAACCCUGGAAAGGCCGUGGAAACUGACGAGCUAGAGGGCAGUAGGGGUAGAGGGAAUUCCCGGUGUAGCGGUGAAAUGCGUAGAGCUCGGGAAGAACAUCGGUGGCGAAAGCGCUCUACUGGACUGCAACUGACACUCAGGGACGAAAGCUAGGGGAGCGAAUGGGAUUAGAUACCCCGGUAGUC